CCCGCCACUUAGAAUUUUUUUUUCAUUUCUGAGACCUGAGAAUCCUUAGACACCCAUCUCCUUUCUCUUCCCCAUUUUUGAGACCCAAGACACUUAUUUCUGAUCUUUCCUUCAACAUUUCUGCCCAUGUAAAUGGCUGGGUAAUUUUGGGUAGCCCGCUUAAAUGUAAAACCCUUAUUUUUUUUAGCAAAUGUAAAAGGCAAAGUCAUUAUUUCCUUUUGAUUCCUCUAUGCUCUGCCGCAAGAGCUGGUCCGAAAUGGAGGUUGGAGAAAACACAUUGUACCAGCAACUUCAUAAGCUAUAAGGGGUGAAGUCCGAAGAAGCUCUUGACCAAUUGAUUUCUGCUCUAUGGCAAACCAAGAAGACUGGUCUCCGUGGUCACCAUGACAAGUCCCAUUUCCAGACCCUCCUCAAUCUCCCUUCUCGCUCCGACCUCGACCCAAUAUGGAACGCUUCUCUUUUCUUCUUAAAUAGAGUUUUUUUCUUGGUGGGUUUUUGUUGCUUAGUGUUCUUGUGAAGAAAGUUUUGAUUUUUGUGGUGCUUGAACAGGUUUUAGCAUGCCUUCGUUCGAUGAUUAGAAAAUGCGCCUAUGGAAACUUCAGUGGCGAUGAUCUUCUUAAGCUUGUUCCACCUGAUUGGCCUGUUGAUCUUCAGCAAAUGCUUUUGCUUUUGUUCCAGAAGUAUCAGAGUCAGUGGAAAGAGGAUGUUUCAAAGGAACAGACAAUGCUCUGUUGAUUCUCCAUGAUAAGCGUCUUAUUCCUCUCCUCAGGACAGCAAAGGAAAUUUUUGAGUUGGCUCUAGAGGCAGACAACUCAAACACCCAUGCCAGAUAUUGGUUGUCCAGAUUGCAUAUGAAAUAUCAUGUUCUUGGAGCAUGUAAAGCAGUGUACACCUGAUGGAGAAGGAAGAUGCGAAGAGGUCCGAGAGGGAGAGGAAGGAGUUCGAGGAGAGGGAGAAGGCCUGGCUUGAGGCCAUGGAGAUGAAAAGGAAGAAGAUGGAAGAAGAAGAAGAAUAUGAGGAACAACGAAAGAAGGCACUGGACGAAGAGUCUCGAAAAUAGCAGUUGCAGCCUAUAAAUACCACUUGACUCUCCCUACUGGAGCCUGAGUAGUGAUUUGAAGAAUCUGGGAUCUCCUCUCUCUCUUUCAGAGAUUUCUCAACACCAUGAGAGCAGUCCAAGGUGCUUUGAUAGUAGCAUCAAGCAUACAUAUUAUCCUUGGAUACAGUCAAAUUUGGGUCAUCUGUUCCUGGUUAGAUUUAUCUAUCUUGGAAUUAGAGGUAGUUGAUAUCGAGAUCGACCCACUACUCCGCCUCUAGUCCUCCGUCGUUACUAGCUUCGUUGCUCUGCCGAAAUCCUAAACAAAGCGUACGAUUAAGAUGUCAAAGUUCUGUCUCAAUGGGGAAUUCUUUUCUUGGUAAGCCUUUUAACCUGCAUUAUUUUACUAUGAAAUUUUGUUUCAUGUAAAAGAAUUGUUACUAGAAUUUUCUCUUCCUCUUCCUAUCCUUUAAGAAUCAUCUUGUCAAUGCCCUUAAUAUUCUCACAAAUCCUUAACUCAUUCAAAAGGUGUGUACUAUGAAAUUACUCCUUCAAUUUCAGAGUUGGUCUCAUUUUGAUUUUGAACAAUGCCGGAAUUCAAUAUUAUAAAUAUGAAGAUAGAUUAUUUAAAUGAAUUGUGGUGUUAGAAGAUAAUGCUAAGGAAUACUGUUUCUAGAAACAACUCUUGCAUAUUUUAUUUUCUUUCCUUCAUUAUAUAUUUGAUGCAACCCACAUUGUAAAAUGAUUAUUUUGUUUGUACUUUCUCAGUUCAAUUAUAUCAAAAUUUUCAAAGGUCAUAUGGAGACUAGUUAAGAGAAAUGGGAUGAAGUAUAAAAGUUAAGGGUCGAUGCUUGUAAUUAACAAAGAAUUAUAUCCUAGGAUCAUUUGUUUAGCAUAGUUUGACUAGAGACCAUGUUAACUAUUUAUUGCAAUAUAUUCUGUAAAUCACACCUUAUUUACUUUGAACUCAAUCUAUUUAUUUAUUUUUUUCGUUUAAGCUAUUUGAAAUGGGUUUGGAGCUUUCAUUUUCACGUCUAAAAUCUCUUGCAAAUUUUGCCUUUGGUUUGGGAUUGACUCAGGUAUAAUGCUGAAACCUGAAAACAACAGUAUAAUAGCUUGUGAUUCUUGCUAUUCAAAUGGUUCUUUAGAGGGAAUACAAAUUGGAUGGUUCCUAUUCCAAGGGGGAAAACAAUGAUUCAUUUGUUUUUAAGUGUUAAGUGCAGUACCAAUCUUUCAAAAUCCUGAUAUUUCUAUGCAAUUUAUGGUAUUGAACUUGGUUUGGUCACAUUUUUAGUCUUACUGGACCAUUUUCUCUAGUUAAGACAUGAUAUGGACUAGUCCUUUAUGAAUGCUGAAUGGACAUUUGACCAUAUGGUCCCCAUUCUUGUUUCAUUCUUGAAGGUCAUCUUCUCUACACUUGCUUUCAUGGCGUUUGAACUUCCUCCUAACAAUGCUAUUGGAACAAGAAUUAUGGAGUUCCUUUUCCACUCAAGGUCUGAUUUGGUCAAUAUAAGAAGUGUUGAUGAGGUUAUUGUGAUUGGUACUGGUCUUUCUCUUCUUCAUCAGCUUUUGUUCUGCAGCUUGGUGGAGGUUAUCUAUUUGGGUUGCCUUUGGGGUUCGUUGCUGAUUCUAUUGGUGCUACAACUGCAUUUAUUCUUGGUAGAACAGUCAGUACGUCAGAGCUGUCUUUCUACAUUUAUCCUUCAUACUUCCUAGAAAUUUCAUGAUCUUCCUAUGCAUGCAGAGGGAAGAAGCAGUAUGAACCACCUAGGUACAUGACAAUAAAUACUGCCAUUGAGUAGCUCCUGGAAGUUGUGCAAGCAAAAGUAGAAUCUGUUUGCAAUGAAGACACAGAGUGUGUUGGUUUUGCUAGAAUUGGAAGUGAAGAUCAGAUCAUUGUGGCUGGUACAAUGAAGCAACUUCAAUUGCAUGUUUUUUUCCUAUCAAAUAGUACUGUAGGAGUGUGCAACUACUCAAAUUUUGACGUGUUAUUAUGUAAAAAAUUAAACUCUUCAAUAUUUUGUGCUGAAAGUAGUAACUUUUCAAUAUGUUGAAUAUUUAAGACUACUUGAAUACUUAAAGAACAAUUUGUUGUUGA